rnacentral:lncRNA from 1 species
AUUGAAGUAAAACUUAAUUAAGGCAGGCAUUAGAAUAAUUUGCCAAAUCUUCCAGCCCCUAAAAAGAUACUAUUUUAAUGUAAUUAAAAAACAAAAGCAGGUAACCCUCCUGCAUUUUUUGUAAGGUGUACUUUAACUUAAAAAAAUUAGUUCUCUAGUUGCAAAGGGUGGGAGGAGGAGAAUUCUAACCCUGGUUUUAGAACUAUUUUAAU